rnacentral:rRNA from 1 species
UCCGUUAGGGGUGACCUGCGGAAGGAUCAUUA